rnacentral:rRNA from 1 species
AUUGAACGCUGGCGGCAUGCUUUACACAUGCAAGUCGAACGGUAACAGGUCUUCGGAUGCUGACGAGUGGCGAACGGGUGAGUAAUGUAUCGGAACGUGCCCAGUAGUGGGGGAUAACUACUCGAAAGAGUGGCUAAUACCGCAUGAGAACUGAGGUUGAAAGUGGGGGACCGCAAGGCCUCACGCUACUGGAGCGGCCGAUAUCAGAUUAGGUAGUUGGUGGGGUAAAGGCCUACCAAGCCUGCGAUCUGUAGCUGGUCUGAGAGGACGACCAGCCACACUGGGACUGAGACACGGCCCAGACUCCUACGGGAGGCAGCAGUGGGGAAUUUUGGACAAUGGGCGCAAGCCUGAUCCAGCAAUGCCGCGUGCAGGACGAAGGCCUUCGGUUGUAAACUGCUUUGUACAGAACGAAAAGACCUCUUCUAAUACAGGGGUGCGAUGACGGUACUGUAAGAAUAAGCACCGGCUAACUACGUGCCAGCAG